rnacentral:rRNA from 1 species
CCUACGGGUGGCAGCAGUGAGGAAUAUUGGUCAAUGGACGAGAGUCUGAACCAGCCAAGUAGCGUGAAGGAUGACUGCCCUAUGGGUUGUAAACUUCUUUUAUAUGGGAAUAAAACGUUCCACGUGUGGGAUUUUGUAUGUACCAUAUGAAUAAGGAUCGGCUAACUCCGUGCCAGCAGCCGCGGUAAUACGGAGGAUACGAGCGUUAUCCGGAUUUAUUGGGUUUAAAGGGAGCGUAGGGGGAUUUUUAAGUCAGUUGUGAAAGUUUGCGGCUCAACCGUAAAAUUGCAGUUGAAACUGGCAGUCUUGAGUACAGUAGAGGUGGGCGGAAUUCGUGGUGUAGCGGUGAAAUGCUUAGAUAUCACGAAGAACUCCGAUUGCGAAGGCAGUUCACUGGACUGCAACUGACACUGAGGCUCGAAAGUGUGGGUAUCAAACAGGAUUAGAUACCCCUGUAGUC